rnacentral:rRNA from 1 species
GAUGAACGCUGGCGGCGUGCCUAAUACAUGCAAGUCGAGCGAACAGACGAGGAGCUUGCUCCUCUGACGUUAGCGGCGGACGGGUGAGUAACACGUGGAUAACCUACCUAUAAGACUGGGAUAACUUCGGGAAACCGGAGCUAAUACCGGAUAAUAUAUUGAACCGCAUGGUUCAAUAGUGAAAGACGGUUUUGCUGUCACUUAUAGAUGGAUCCGCGCCGCAUUAGCUAGUUGGUAAGGUAACGGCUUACCAAGGCAACGAUGCGUAGCCGACCUGAGAGGGUGAUCGGCCACACUGGAACUGAGACCCGGUCCAGACUCCUACGGGAGGCAGCAGUAGGGAAUCUUCCGCAAUGGGCGAAAGCUUGACGGAGCAACGCCGCGUGAGUGAUGAAGGUCUUCGGAUCGUAAAACUCUGUUAUUAGGGAAGAACAAAUGUGUAAGUAUCUAUGCACGUCUUGACGGUACCUAAUCAGAAAGCCACGGCUAACUACGUG